UACGAAGGGGACUAGCGUUGUUCGGAAUUAUUGGGCGUAAAGCGCGUGUAGGCGGCCUGGCAAGUCGGGUGUGAAAGCCCUCAGCUCAACUGAGGAAGCGCGCCCGAAACUGCAGAGCUUGAGUACCGGAGAGGAUGGCGGAAUUCCCCAAGUAGAGGUGAAAUUCGUAGAUAUGGGGAGGAACACCGGUGGCGAAGGCGGCCAUCUGGACGGAUACUGACGCUGAGACGCGAAAGCGUGGGGAGCAAACAGG
rnacentral:rRNA from 1 species